rnacentral:rRNA from 1 species
GACGAACGCUGGCGGCGUGCCUAAUACAUGCAAGUUGAGCGCUGAAGGUUGGUACUUGUACCAACUGGAUGAGCAGCGAACGGGUGAGUAACGCGUGGGGAAUCUGCCUUUGAGCGGGGGACAACAUUUGGAAACGAAUGCUAAUACCGCAUAAAAACUUUAAACACAAGUUUUAAGUUUGAAAGAUGCAAUUGCAUCACUCAAAGAUGAUCCCGCGUUGUAUUAGCUAGUUGGUGAGGUAAAGGCUCACCAAGGCGAGGAUACAUAGCCGACCUGAGAGGGUGAUCGGCCACAUUGGGACUGAGACACGGCCCAAACUCCUACGGGAGGCAGCAGUAGGGAAUCUUCGGCAAUGGACGAAAGUCUGACCGAGCAACGCCGCGGGAGUGAAGAAGGUUUUCGGAUCGUAAAACUCUGUUGGUAGAGAAGAACGUUGGUGAGAGUGGAAAGCUCAUCAAGUGACGGUAACUACCCAGAAAGGGACGGCUAACUACGUG